rnacentral:rRNA from 1 species
GAUGAACGCUGGCGGCGUGCUUAAUACAUGCCAGUCGAACGGUGAAGGCGGAGCUUGCUCUGCUGGAUCAGUGGCGAACGGGUGAGUAACACGUGAGCAAUCUGCCCCUGACUCUGGGAUAAGCGCUGGAAACGGCGUCUAAUACUGGAUACGAUCUGCGAAGGCAUCUUCAGCAGCUGGAAAGAAGUUCGGUCAGGGAUGAGCUCGCGGCCUAUCAGCUUGUUUGUGAGGUAAUGGCUCACCAAGGCGUCGACGGGUAGCCGGCCUGGGAGGGUGACCGGCCUCACUGGGACUGAGGCACGGCCCAGACUCCUACGGGAGGCAGCAGUGGGGAAUAUUGCGGAAUGGGCGAGAGCCUGAUGCAGCAACGCCGCGUGAGGGAAGACGGCCUUCGGGUUGUAAACAUCUUUUAGCAGGGAAGAAGCGAAAGUGACGGUACCUGCAGAAAAAGCGCCGGCUAACUACGUG